UAUGCUCCAAAACCCAUUUAUUAUCGUUAUUUGUGAAUUUUGCCAAAAAAAUGGCAGCAUUGAAAAAUUAUGAAAAAUAUGAUAUGCUUGUAUAUUUUAUCAAAGCAAUGAAAGUGCGCAAGAAGCUUCGAAACUAUAUUUUCAUAGAUAUCCAGAGAGAAGGCAACCUUUUUUUGGUAUAUUUGCUCGUUUAAAGGACAAUUUACUUGAGCACGGAUCUUUUGUUCAGCCGCAUCCUAAAGCAUACAAUAAAGAAAGUAGGGAAGAGAAAGAAAUAGAUGUUUUAGGUUAUAUAGAAUGGACAUCCUCGAGCUCAUGCACAAAAAUCGAAAAACAAAUUGUGCCAAAAACUGACGCACAACGAAUCUUAAAAAAAUAUAGGUAUUUUCCAUACAAAUUUAACAUACUUCAACAUUUACAUCCUGGUAAUGCCGAGUGCCUUUGGAGUUGAAGUGUCUUGUUUUAUUUUUGGAAAACAAAUAGUAUACCGAAUUUUUGAAGAGAAUCUUACAGCACGUAGGUACCUAGACAUACUUGAGGAAGUUAUUCGAGAACUUCUGAAAAAUAUCCCUCUAGCCCAAUAUAAUACUGUCUUCCUACAAGAUGGUGCCUCAAGUAAUAACUCUGGGCUAGUAAGGGCAAGCUAGAACUUCAAGACGCAAUUCAUUUAGCCUUUCAAAAUCUGAAAAGGAGACAAAUUAUUAUUUUGAAUGCUAUUUAAAGGGUUACAAACAUGUGCCAAUUUUGUAUCAGAGAAGAUGGUGGUCAUUUUGAACAUCUCUUGUAAAAAUAUUGUUUUGUCACAUUGUUGUUUUGUUAUAUGGUUGUUUUCUUAUAGUGUUUAUUAAAUUUAUAUAUUUGGUU